UCGAACUCCGGUCACUCGGCCGCGGUAAUACGGAGGAGCCGAGCGUUAGCCGGAUUUAUUGGGUUUAAAGGGGGCGUAGGGGGGGGUUUAAGUCAGCUGGGAAAUGCCGUGGCCCAACCAUGGAACUGCAGGUGAAACUGGACCUCUGGAGAGUACAUAAGGAAGGCGGAAUUCGUGGUGUAGCGGUGAAAUGCAUAGAUAUCACGAAGAACUCCGAUUGCGAAGGCAGCUUUCCGGGGUACAUCUGACGCUGAAGCUCGAAAGUGCGGGAAUCAAACAGGAUUAGAUACCCCAGUAGUC
rnacentral:rRNA from 1 species